AACGAACGCUGGCGGCGCGCCUAAUACAUGCAAGUCGAGCGAGAAGACGUAGCAAUACGUUUGUAAAGCGGCGAACGGGUGAGGAAUACAUGGGUAACCUACCCUCGAGUGGGGAAUAACUAGCCGAAAGGUUAGCUAAUACCGCGUACGCUCCUUGGACUUCGGUUCAGGGAGGAAAGCGAUACCGUGGGUAUCGCGCUCUUGGAUGGGCUCAUGUCCUAUCAGCUUGUUGGUGAGGAACGGCUCACCAAGGCUUCGACGGGUAGCUGGUCUGAGAGGACGAUCAGCCACACUGGCACUGUGACACGGGCCAGACUCCUACGGGAGGCAGG
rnacentral:rRNA from 1 species